UGAGAAAGUGUCUACUCCUUA
rnacentral:siRNA from 1 species